rnacentral:sRNA from 1 species
AUGACAGCCUUGGAAAUUGAAGUCUUCUAUCAAACUACAGAACUUACACAGUAUGGAUGAAAUUGUGCCAACUUCUGCCAUGCUAUCCUCUUAAAGUGUCUCAAAUCUAACCUGGAAAAAUUAUUUCUGGUGGUAACAGCACUUCAGCCUCAAUAUCUGGUCGUUUCUUACUACU